CCUGGCCCAAAUCCAGCUGGUCCAAAUCCUGUCCCCACACCUCCACCAGGGCCAAGUCCACCAGGGCCAACAGCUCCACCAGGUCCAAAACCGGUGCCAGCUCCACCAGGUCCAAAACCGGUGCCAGCUCCACCAGGUCCAAAGCCGGUACCAGCUCCACCAGGCCCAACUCCUCCACCAGGUCCAAAGCCGGUACCAGCUCCUCCAGGUCCAAAGCCAGCACCAGCUCCUCCAGGUCCAAAGCCAGUACCAGCUCCACCAGGUCCAAAGCUGGUACCAGCACCACCAGGCCCGACUCCUCCACCAGGUCCAUAGCCGGUACCAGCACCACCAGGGCCGACUCCUCCACCAGGUCCAAAGCCGGUACCAGCACCACCAGGGCCGACUCCUCCACCAGGUCCAAAGCCGGUACCAGCGCCACCUGGGCCAACUCCUCCACCAGGUCCAAAGCCGGUACCAGCGCCACCAGGACCAACUCCUUGACCAGGUCCAAAGCCGGUACCAGUGCCACCAGGCCCAACUCCACCACCAGGACCAAUACUGGAACCAGCUCCACCGGGGCCAACUCCUCCCCCAGGCCCAAAGCCAGUUCC
ensembl:lncRNA